rnacentral:rRNA from 9 species
GUCGUGGGAGUUCACGGUGCUCGCACAGGAGGUGAAGGAGUUGACGACGCCGCCCAAGGAGGGGGCGUACAUCCACGGGAUGUUCCUCGAGGGCUGCGGGUGGGAUAUGGACGGGAUGUGCCUGGUGGACCAGAAGCCGAUGGAGCUGAUCGUGGGCAUGCCGGUGGUGCACUUCAAGCCGGUGGAGU